rnacentral:sRNA from 1 species
AGCUAGCCCCGAUAGCAGUGGAAAUCCUUUUGUUUUGUAAUAGGGCUUCGACUCCCGAAGCGUAGGCACAGCCUGACAAAAUGCGUGACAAAACAAAAGAUUGUAGCGCAUAGCGGGACAACGG